GCGGGACUGGGCGCGACGUGGGGACGCCGGCCUGGGAUACGGUCCUGGAGACACUGGAGACACUGAAGACCUGGCCGGGGCCAGAGAAAGAACCACCGCUGUGAGGCGCUGUACGGUGACAGUCUGAGUUCCAUGCACAGGCAAGGUGUUGCAGAGCCCAGAAUUAAGUGCCAGGACAUCCUUCUCUGCUUCCUUUAAAAGGAUCCUCUUCUUUCGAGUGUGGUGUUACUACAGCCAUAUGACAAGGAUUUACUACUUAGGUCGUCUCCCCCUGCUUGCUGUACUUCAUUUUAAAGAAAAACAACUGCUAACGUUAACUGAA